AACAGUGUCCAUGUUGUCGCCACCUCGUGUCGGAGUUGUUGGGUUAAGUCCCGCAACAAGCCCACCCUUAAGCUUGUUGCCUUCAUUAAGUGGGGCACUCUAGGUUGACUGCCGGUGACAAACCGGAGGAAGGUGGGGAUGACUUCAAAUCAUCAUGCCCCUUUUGAUUGGGCUACACCCUCCCCCCAUGGACAAUACAAAGGGCAGCUAAACCGCGAGGUCAUGCAAAUCCCAUAAAGUUGUUCUCAGUUCGGAUUGUAGUCUGCAACUCGACUACAUGAAGCUGGAAUCGCUAGUAAUCGUAGAUCAGCAUGCUACGGUGAAAACGUUCCCGGGUC
rnacentral:rRNA from 1 species